rnacentral:rRNA from 1 species
UACGUAGGUGGCUAGCGUUGUCCGGAUUUACUGGGCGUAAAGCGUGCGCAGGCGGUUGUGUAAGUCAGAUGUGAAAUCCCCGGGCUCAACCUGGGAAUUGCAUUUGAGACUGCACGGCUAGAGUGUGUCAGAGGGGGGUAGAAUUCCACGUGUAGCAGUGAAAUGCGUAGAGAUGUGGAGGAAUACCGAUGGCGAAGGCAGCCCCCUGGGAUAACACUGACGCUCAUGCACGAAAGCGUGGGGAGCAAACAGG